UGACCCUUCAAAGAAAAAUUUUCGAUCUUACUCAAUUAUAGGAGAUCUAUUUGGCUUAACAUGGUGGUGACCUUGACCUGUUGACAUGUAUCUUUGAGAAACGACGAGACUUAACAGAGCCGUUGGGAUGUCGACAAAUUUGGUCUUGGCUAUUGAAAGAUACUUUUGUGUUCACUGCUCGCGGGCAACUACUUUAUAGUCAAUGAAUGAAAUUAAUCCACUUAUUCUUGUUAUGAGUUAGGAGGUAUUGUUUAAAAGCCAGCUAUUAUUCAAAAAUAUUUAGUUGUGGGAAUUAUUAAGACCCAUGUCAUUUGGACAAAUCGGUGUUCAAUUAUGUAUACCUAAUUAUCUAUAAAAUAAUCAGAUAAAAGUCGGGGUGAAAGUACUUAUGUUUUAUUUCAUCGACAACAACAGUAACGGCAAGUUCAACACUAGCGCGAGGGCAAAAUGGAUGGAGACAAAAAAAUUUGAGAAGGUUGAUACGUGUAAUUGGGCAUUGAGACAUUGUUUACAGAAAAUACGAUGAGAAAGGUUUAGAGCGAAAGCAAGUCAAGUUCAAAAGCGAUUCUCAACGAAAGCAUUGCGCCAACAUUUCAAAAUAUCAUUACAGUGAAAAAAUAGUGUCUACCAGAAAAAGCCAUUUGUCAGUGCGUUCAUACCGCACGAUAUCCAAGCGUAUGAAAGCCAACAUUGAAGAUCAUCGAUCGAUCACAUUAAGUUGGUACGGGAACGCCACAAACCAGAUGUUGUAGAACAUCAUCCUGACCUUAAACAAUGGUUCCAUGUCUACAUUAACAGGAAUAAUGACUAACAUCAAACAUACAAUUAAAAGUGUUAAUAUAUGCUUGAUCAUUUCACAAGUUCUUCGUGUAUGGAUGGUAUGACGACAUUCCUUAUGAAAAGUGGACGAUAACAAAAUUAAAAAGCUAUAUAAGCUCAAAAUUGCCAUUUUGCAUGAAUCCUUUCGAAGAAAUUAUCAACUGGUUUAAAGCGUGAUCUACCAAAGCCAAGCCAAUACUGUGUCAUCCUUAUAUUUAACUACGACAAGUACUAAUGAAUUAAUUAUACUAAUAUUGACCUUACCUGCUAAAGGAAAUCGUUAUUGUCCGACCGUUUGGAUACGUGCUUCAUAUGACAAAUUUGUGCAGAUAUCAAAGCAAUUCGUGUGUUUUAUUGAUGUAUAAAAAGACUUUCACUCUUUCUAUUUA